UGUGGAGUGGUUCAAGACGUAGAACACCUGCUUAAUAAGUAUGAGGCUCUGAGUUCAAAACUCAAUACUGCAA
rnacentral:tRNA from 1 species